rnacentral:lncRNA from 1 species
UGGUCAUCAUCAAAGCUGUUGCUAUUGUGCCCCUUGGCUCCUAUGAUCCUUGGGUUGCCAACCGGGUGGAUAUCCAUGCAACUGAAAAUAACGAUCAUGCAUAUGACCUAUUUUCUUGCAAUAAUCAUGAUGCACCUAUUUCUUAUUCUUGUCAUGAGCCUAUCCAUCAGUAGAGAGAGCAAUCAAUGCAGCCAUCUCCGGUUGUAGAACACAAACUUCUG